GACGAAUGCUGGCGGCGUGCUUAACACAUGCAAGUCGAACGGUAAGGCUCCAGCUUGCUGGGGUACACGAGUGGCGAACGGGUGAGUAACACGUGGGUGACCUGCCCUGCACUUCGGGAUAAGCCUGGGAAACUGGGUCUAAUACCGGAUAGGACCGCACCGUGAGGGUGUGGUGGAAAGUUUUUUCGGUGUGGGAUGGGCCCGCGGCCUAUCAGCUUGUUGGUGGGGUAAUGGCCUACCAAGGCGGCGACGGGUAGCCGGCCUGAGAGGGUGGACGGCCACAUUGGGACUGAGACACGGCCCAGACUCCUACGGGAGGCAGCAGUGGGGAAUAUUGCACAAUGGGCGGAAGCCUGAUGCAGCGACGCCGCGUGGGGGAUGACGGCCUUCGGGUUGUAAACUCCUUUCACCAUCGACGAAGGGUUUCUGACGGUAGAUGGAGAAGAAGCACCGGCUAACUACGUGCCAGCAGCCGCGGUAAUACGUAGGGUGCGAGCGUUGUCCGGAAUUACUGGGCGUAAAGAGCUCGUAGGUGGUUUGUCGCGUCGUCUGUGAAUUCCGGGGCUUAACUCCGGGCGUGCAGGCGAUACGGGCAUAACUUGAGUACUGUAGGGGAGACUGGAAUUCCUGGUGUAGCGGUGAAAUGCGCAGAUAUCAGGAGGAACACCGGUGGCGAAGGCGGGUCUCUGGGCAGUAACUGACGCUGAGGAGCGAAAGCAUGGGGAGCGAACAGGAUUAGAUACCCUGGUAGUCCAUGCCGUAAACGGUGGGCGCUAGGUGUGGGUUUCCUUCCACGGGAUCCGUGCCGUAGCUAACGCAUUAAGCGCCCCGCCUGGGGAGUACGGCCGCAAGGCUAAAACUCAAAGGAAUUGACGGGGGCCCGCACAAGCGGCGGAGCAUGUGGAUUAAUUCGAUGCAACGCGAAGAACCUUACCUGGGCUUGACAUAUACAGGAUCGCGCCAGAGAUGGUGUUUCCCUUGUGGCUUGUAUACAGGUGGUGCAUGGUUGUCGUCAGCUCGUGUCGUGAGAUGUUGGGUUAAGUCCCGCAACGAGCGCAACCCUUGUCUUAUGUUGCCAGCACGUUGUGGUGGGGACUCGUAAGAAACUGCCGGGGUUAACUCGGAGGAAGGUGGGGAUGACGUCAAAUCAUCAUGCCCCUUAUGUCCAGGGCUUCACACAUGCUACAAUGGUCGGUACAGUGGGUUGCCAGUCCGUGAGGGCGAGCUAAUCCCGCAAAGCCGGUCUCAGUUCGGAUCGGGGUCUGCAACUCGACCCCGUGAAGUCGGAGUCGCUAGUAAUCGCAGAUCAGCAACGCUGCGGUGAAUACGUUCCCGGGCCU
rnacentral:rRNA from 1 species